rnacentral:rRNA from 1 species
CAGCCGCCGCGGUAAUACCGGCGGCCCGAGUGGCGGUCACUAUUAUUGGGCUUAAAGCGUCCGUAGCCGGGUUGGGAAGUCCUCCGGGAAAUCUGGCCGCUUAACGGUCAGAAUGCCGGAGGAUACUCCCAGCCUAGGGAGCGGGAGAGGCCGAGGGUAUUCCCGGAGUAGGGGGGAAAUCCUAUAAUCCCAGGAGGACCCCCAGUGGCGAAGGGGCCCGGCUGGCACGCGCCCGACGGUGAGGGACGAAAGCUGGGGGAGCAAAGGGGAUUAGAUACCCCCGUAGUCCCAGCUGUAAACGAUGCGGGCUAGAUGUUGGGCGGGCCUCGAGCCCGCCCAGUGUCGUAGGGAAGCCGUUAAGCCCGCCGCCUGGGGAGUACGGCCGCAAGGCUGAAACUUAAAGGAAUUGGCGGG